rnacentral:rRNA from 1 species
UACAGAGGUCUCAAGCGUUGUUCGGAUUCAUUGGGCGUAAAGGGUGCGUAGGCGGCGCUGUAAGUCGGGUGUGAAAUCUUGGAGCUUAACUCCGAAACUGCAUUCGAUACUGCCGUGCUUGAGGACUGGAGAGGAGGCUGGAAUUUACGGUGUAGCGGUGAAAUGCGUAGAUAUCAGGAGGAACACCAAUGGCGAAGGCAGCUCGCUGGGACGGUACUGACGCUGAGACGCGAAAGCGUGGGGAGCGAACAGG